CAUAGGUUAAUGAGGCGAACCGGGGGAACUGAAACAUCUAAGUACCCCGAGGAAAAGAAAUCAACCGAGAUUCCCCCAGUAGCGGCGAGCGAACGGGGAGCAGCCCAGAGCCUGAAUCAGUGUGUGUGUUAGUGGAAGCGUCUGGAAAGGCGCGCGAUACAGGGUGACAGCCCCGUACACAAAAAUGCACAUGCUGUGAGCUCGAUGAGUAGGGCGGGACACGUGGUAUCCUGUCUGAAUAUGGGGGGACCAUCCUCCAAGGCUAAAUACUCCUGACUGACCGAUAGUGAACCAGUACCGUGAGGGAAAGGCGAAAAGAACCCCGGCGAGGGGAGUGAAAAAGAACCUGAAACCGUGUACGUACAAGCAGUGGGAGCACGCUUAGGCGUGUGACUGCGUACCUUUUGUAUAAUGGGUCAGCGACUUAUAUUCUGUAGCAAGGUUAACCGAAUAGGGGAGCCGAAGGGAAACCGAGUCUUAACUGGGCGUUAAGUUGCAGGGUAUAGACCCGAAACCCGGUGAUCUAGCCAUGGGCAGGUUGAAGGUUGGGUAACACUAACUGGAGGACCGAACCGACUAAUGUUGAAAAAUUAGCGGAUGACUUGUGGCUGGGGGUGAAAGGCCAAUCAAACCGGGAGAUAGCUGGUUCUCCCCGAAAGCUAUUUAGGUAGCGCCUCGUGAAUUCAUCUCCGGGGGUAGAGCACUGUUUCGGCAAGGGGGUCAUCCCGA
rnacentral:rRNA from 2 species